GAGCCAGUAGCAGCCUUACUCUCUGAAUGCUAGGUAAUGACAUGAACUCAUGAAGAAUGACAUCCUUUCCCGUUUGUAGACCUCAUUUUUAAUUUAGUAGUGGUUCUCUUUUUGCCUCUCUAUGGUUACCUUGCUUUUUUCCCACUAUUUUUGUCUUGAUUGCAUGUUGUGAAAUUGAAAUUUGCUGUUCUUUAAGUGUAUAAGUACACUGUUGAGCUGAAUGUUGGGGAGACCUUCAACUACAUAGGGUUUAAUUUUUGUAUAUUAUCUUCCUGUAUUAUCUACAUUUUUGACCUCAACAUUUGACCUACAAGGGACAACAGUGAAAUCAUCAACAGCAUUGCUGUCCUAUUACAAGUCUUCAAGAUUGUGGUCAAUCACUUGUAAAUAUCAUUUACCAUCAUCAAAAUCAUUAAACUUCAUUUGCAGUUGUUGGUCUGAAACUGGUUUAUUGAUAUUACAUAACAUGCAACUUUCCAUCGAUGUAAAAUCUAAUAUACUGUAUUUUGUUCCCAGUAAAUUUGGAGAAAUCAUCUCAAAGCAAUCAGCCCAUGUUGUAGAAGAACUGAACAGUGAAACUGACCAGAUGAGUCUGACUGUGACUCUGUGUUUGAAUCAAUAUUGCAUCAAUACACAUUUUUAAUGGAGACAUUAACACAGCUUUUGUCCUGAAAUAAUAUUGUCAUAAACAUAUAAACAAAAAUACACACACAUUCCGACCAAUCAGCACCACUAUAAUACCGUCUCAAUACUUCUGACUGCCAGGAUUUGUAUUUUGCAGCUUAUGUGAAAUUAGGUAUUUAGAAGUAUAUAGGGUACAGUCAUCAAGGAAUGCAGUUAAACUAAGAUUAAGUUAGAUGGUCUCCCCAGCACCUGCUUAUGUUCUGUAUUUAUUUCUGUGUUAUUAUUGUGGCAUAAGCUUGAGUAUGAAUGUGCGUGUGUCUGUAUCAGAAUUGCCACCAUGAGAAUGAACAUUCAUCACUGUUAGUUGUACGUUCUCAAAUUUUGAUAAACCGACCAGGGCUUUCUUUAGGUAUAGUCAGCGAGAUUUCAUUCACUUCUAUUCUGCUAUUUUGUGAAUCCAUGAAAACUGCUGAAACCAUUUCAAUGACAACCUAUUCUGUCUCUUGCCAAAUAAGAGAAGAAACCAUUUUUAAUCAUUUUUUUUAUUUAUAAAAGAAAAGGUUGAGUAAUUAUUUUUCAGUCAAAUCAGUUAUUACCUCUGUGAACUCAAUGUAUCCUAAUGGAUGAGAGGAACAAACUGCAUCUAAUCUGACCCUAGCUGAAUAAACAGAUCAUAAAUGCCAUGUGUUAGGUCCAUAAAUAUUUGUACAUUGACACAAUUUUCAGCAUUCUGGCUCUGUACACCAUCACGAUGGAUUUUAAAUGAAGCAAUCAAGAUUUGCUUAAAGUGCAGAUUUUGAGCUUUAAUUUGAGGGUAUUUACAUCCAAAUCAGGUUCACAAUGGAGGAAUAACAACACAUUUUAAAUGUGCCCUCCACUUUUUAAGGGACCGGAAAUAUUUGGACAAUAUAUCCAUCCAUCCAUUAUCUAUACACCACUUAAUCCUCAUUAGGGUCUCGAGGGGCUAGAGUCUAUCCCAGCUGACUUAUGGCAAGGCAGGGGACACACUGGACAGGUCACUAGUCUAUCUCACGGCUAAAUAUGGAGACAAACAAGCAAAUACGGACAAUUUGGAAUCAUCAGUUAAACUCAGUUUGUUUUUGGACUGUAGGAAGAAGCCGGUAUACCCAGAAAAAACCCAUCACUGUGCAGUCCUCGGACAAACUAACAUCAUCAUAAGUCAAAUUGUCACUUUUAAUAUUUGGUUGCAAAUCCUUUGCAGUCAAUGACAUCCUGAAGUCUGGAACCAAUAGACAUCACCAGAUGCUGGGUUCGGUCCCUGGUGAUGCUCUGCCAGGCCUCUACUGCUGCUGUCUUCACUUCCUGCUUGUUCUUGGGGCAUUUUCCCUUUUGUUUGUCUUCAGCAAGUGAAAUGCAGAUCAAUUGGAUUCAGGUCAGGAGACUGACCUGGCCAUUGCAAAACAUUCCACUUCUUUGCCGUAAAAUACUCUUUGGUUGCUUUCACUGUAUGCUUCGGUUCAUUGUCCAUCUGAACCGUGAAGCAUUGGACAAUGAGUUCUGAAGCAUUUGGCUGAAUAUGAGCCAAUAAUAUUGACUGAAACAUUCAGAAUUCAUUCUGCUGCUUUUGUCAGCAGCCCCAUCAUCAACAAAUAGAAGAGAACCAGUUCCACUGGCAACCGUACAUGCCGACGACAUCAUACCACUACCACCAUGCAUCACUGAUGAGGUGGUAUGCUUUGGAUCUUGAGCAGUUCCGUCCCUUCUCCAGACUCUUCUCUUCCCAUCACUCUGAUGCACCUACCUCCUGGAGAGUCUUCUUGAUCCAACCAGCUGUUGUGAAGGGGUUUUCUUCACCAGAUAAAAGAUUCUUCUGCGUCGCUGAGCUCAUCCGUGCAUUCUUUCUUUUUAAGAAUGUGCGAAACAGUUGAUUUGGCCACACCUAAUGUUUUUAUAUCUCUCUGAUGGGUUUGAUUAUUGAACUAGUAUUGAUUUUUUUGGCUUAAUGAUGACUUGCUGCACUGAUAGUGACAGCUCUAUGGAUUUCAUAUUGAGUGUUCUGUCACAGUUGAGAUUUAUGUUUGUUACAGCACCUGCUGAUGCUCGUUCUUGAUACUUUUCUCAGUUGAUCAUGUGUUCAUGAUAACUAGAUUCAGGCAGAAUUCUACCUCUAAGAGAGACAAGUGCUUUGUCGUCACUGCUGUUAGCAUUUACAUUGCAGAUUUGACACAUUAAAGACAAAUUGCUUAUAUUUAUGAUCCAGAUUUAGUUAACCCUUUGGCUAGUGUAUAACGACCUGAUUGUAAUUGUGUUUUCUGCAUUUAUUUUCAGUCUCUUCCUUUCCUAUCUAAUAAACCUGUGGACAAACCUG